rnacentral:tRNA from 1 species
GGGCGGUUAGCUCAGUGGGAGAGCAUCGGCCUUACAAGCCGGGGGUCACAGGUUCAAAUCCUGUACCGCCCA